GCCGAAGUGGUGGAAUGGUAGACACGUCGGUCUCAAAAACCGAUGGCUUCUGGCCGUGCCGGUUCGAGUCCGGCCUUCGGUACCA
rnacentral:tRNA from 1 species